rnacentral:lncRNA from 1 species
UGUUUUUUCACGUACAUGGGAGUGGAAGCAUUAAUCAGGCACAAUUCGAUAGAUUUCCCUGAUGUCCCUACUUAGUAUUUUGAAUCACUCUAUCUGUCGCUUUGCUUAUGUAUGCUAUCUAGUUCAUGCAACCUUUUGAUAUCAGUUCAGUUCGGCCAGUUUAAUCUGCUGCUAAUAUCUGUGUUUAAUUUCAGGAGAACCAUGUCUAUCUUAAUUAGCUUAUUUAGGGGUAAUGUUGAUAUGCAUCUUAUCUUGGAUUUUGGACAUGCUACAACUAUGUGUUUAAUCAUUUUCCUGGGAUGAAUUUUGCUUUGAUCAUCGGGUAGUAAUCUGGAUUAAUGAUGUGUGCAUCCUCAUCUGUUAGUAUUUUCUUUUCAAAUGUUCAUUCGUUAAUCUUGUUCUGCAUGUCAUAAGAGUUAUAUAUCUGGUAUGGUUGUGAAAUGUGAUAAUCGAUCCUACAUAUGCUGGUUGGUUGGGAGGAUGCAUCAGUCACAUUAUGCUGUCCCUUUUCCAGCAUAUCUUUCAGUAAUAUUUUCGUCAUAUUGUUUCGUAUGUAAUCUUCUCCUCACGUACACUUAUCUUAGCUGCAUGUUAUUCGUGAACGAUCCAAUCAAAUUGAACAUGACAAAAUUGGGUUUUCAAACAUUGGAGCUCGUAGCCUUCCUGCAGGGUCCUGCACGGGAGAUUGCGGCAAUUACUGUGGCUGCACGAGCCCGUAGCCAUCAUGCACUUUGGCGGUGGCGAAGAUGAGGCCGGCGCAGACCGUGGCACAAGCGGCGAUGCAGACGCAGACCCGAAAGAUCCGAUGCAUGUACUGGUAAGGCUUUUCUACAACUCAUGUUCUGUUUUCGCCUUUCUCUCUUGCCAUCUGCCCAUCUACGUCGUGAAAAAAUUCAGUUUAGAUAUAGUGCACUGAUGGUUCAUGUUCUGAAGUUUGCUCAAUGUAUCUGAUAUGAUGGCGUGUACUUGAGUUAUAAUGUGAACACUGGCUGCUAAGCUACUGUCUAGGAAUCCAAUAUGUAUGCUAAUUCACAACUGUUUUGGAAGGGAAGCUAAGAGAAUUUAGAAAUCAUUUGUUCAUAGUCUUGAAGUAGCUAUCCAAAUCUCCCUUUCUUGACUGACAGAAUCACACAUCUCCACAUUCUUGAUUGACGCAGAUAAAAUAAUAAUAAUAUCGCUGCAUGAAUAUGAUUUCACCACAAAGAAUUGAGAUUACAAAAGGCGGAACUACGUGGAGCAAUGAAGAAACCAAUAUUGCUUUGUAAGUAGAUGGAGCUUUUGGAGUAAUUAUAUUUCUUUGUUGUGUAGGACAUGAUGGCAGCAAACUGUUAGCUAUAGCUCUCUGUAGAAGGGGUUUCGUGGUAGGAAACUGUUGCACUUGUGGUCCUAUUAUCAAGUAUUAAUUUCUGUAAGUAUUUCGUGGUAGAUAGGAAACAAUUGUUGCUUGGUCGAGUAUUAAUUUCUGCAAGUAUUUCCGUGAUUGUGACUGAAUAGAAUUUUGCAUGAUUUAUAUAAGAUUAAAGGUUGAUGUGUCUCUUAUGUGUGCAGAUAUAUUGUAUGACUCGUGGUCGCCUGGAUGACUGUAAAAGUGUCCCUACUGAUUGAUUCUGGGAAUCAUGUGCUGAAUCUUUUGGUGGUGUCUGAUUGCAUCAUUCAUGCUUUAAACCUGGUGGUGGUUGAUGACUUGUAAAAUAGACUAUUGCUUUAGUUGGGAUAAACUUGAUGUUAAAUGCAUUUUGUGGAGAAGAAAAAUCCUUUAGUUUGUUUGUCGCGACAUCAGAGUUACUUUGUGUGUAAUACAGUACAUUUUAAUUUGAAUUGCAUGUGUGAGAUUGUUGGAUUAUUUGUGUUGCAUCUUUCAC